GAAAUUCACUGCAAGAAAAAGAUUAAGCUCAGCCGACUUAAUUUCUUAACAGAAUGCCUUAAUCAACCUGCCAAAAAUUCACGAACAUAUCCCAUAAAUCUUUCAAACUUUCACCUAAAUAUAAUUAGGCAGAGCCUUUUACAGCAACUUUUGUGUUAUCCUAACUAACGUAAGACUACUUCUCCAAUAAUGAUAAGCAAAACAGUAUAAACAAUAACAUAAAGAAACCUUGUAUUAUUCGAUUCUUCUAUACCUAUUUAUAAAAAAGUUCAAUCCUAGUUUUUUUCUUCUUGAAUUUUAUUUUCUAUAGAAAAGGUUUUAAAUUUUAUAAGACAUUUUUUUUUUAUGCUGAUGUUAUUUAUUUUUAUCAUCAAACUUUCUGUCACAUCCCUCUUCCCAAACCAUGACAUGUAUGACUUAUACAAAACUGACAGUUUCCCUUGAAAUUUUCAAACUAAACAUUAAGAUCUUCAAUAGAUUAUAGAUUCACCAAACAAUCAAUUUAAGAAAAUAAAUCCACCUCUAUUAAGGACACAUUUAUACCUUUUAUAUUAAUUAAAGAACGAUAAAAAAUACAUCACCUGACACAUUUCUAGUCAUAUAUUGUACAUAUAAUUUAAAAGAAAAAUCGCCAAGUAAUUAUAACACGAAGGUUAUAGUUACUUACUUUGGACCGCACCCCAAGGUCGCCUACGUACCUCCUCUGGAGGAUCAAGUCGACAUAACUUUUAAAUUAUGUCGAAAAUUCAGCAAAGAUUCCCCUAAAUGUAGGCAUUUCUCCCCUUUUAACAAUCAAAUAAACUCA
rnacentral:misc_RNA from 1 species